AAGCCUUUCAGCUGCUCUCAAUAUGGAUAUGUAAAUGAGGAUUUAAUCAUCACAUGAGAAUUCACACUAAAGCGCUGCCUCACCAGACAAUUCAGACAAAUUAAAAGCCUCACGUCUGUCCUGUUUGUGGCAGGAAACUUUUACAGGUUUUAAAAGCAUGAAAAACCUGUGUGCUGCGUAGGGAUGGAUAUUGUUAAGGUUUUAAAGGUAUUACUGCUCUUACUGAUACUGCUGAUCCAUCUGGUAUUUUUAUCGGUGCUUCUUGAUAUUCAAAAACAAAAACUCUCAGCAAUUCUCAGGAUGUGAACUUUUUCUCUCAAAACUAUAAAAUAUGUUCAAGCUCUCUGAACAAUUAGUUUCUAAUUGUUAUAGUGUUAUAGCUUGUGAAUGUUGUUUUUUUCCUUUCAUGUUUGGUAUCAUUUUAAAGGUCUCUGUGCGAUUGGUAAAUUGGUCUCAGUUUUACAGUAGUCACUUGUAUUAUGAUAAAUAUUGAAAACUUUUGUAGAAUUGUGUUCUGCUGAGGAGGGGGUGUGUCCCCCUUUAGGGGUCUGCGGAAAUGUUUAUCCAUCUUCAUCCAGGUGCGACUCUGGAGCACGAGAACCAAAAACACCAAAAGGUCUUUUAUGUUUUUACAACUGAUUUAAAGAUUUCUCUGCUUUUGUUCUGGUAGUAUUUAAGGGAAAGUUGCAAAUCAGUCAUUGCGAUUCUGUAGCCAGAAUAAACCCGUAGUGUGGUGUCUCUACACUCCAUACUACGCAUUUCCCAACGUCAGGUAUGCCUGUUUUACUCUUAGAUUAAUCUUUGAGAAUUUGAUGCUUCGUAUUGAGAUGAUUUGAUAUCUUUGAAUUGGUUAUAUAAUUGGCGUGAUACAACUUUAUCUGAGUAAUAAUAAAUUGUCAUAUUUGAUUUAUUCUGAUCUCUUCUGAAAUCAUUUUUCAAGUAGAUUAAUGUGUAGUGGUAUUUCCGCAAAUCUGCGCUCAGGACAGAUCAUGCCAAGCACCGAUGGAUGAACCAUGGGGAGCACCAUGAGGGACCUUGGAUUUCUGACUGUCCCUGGCUUAACACGGUGUAGCUCUCGUGGUUAUAGGAAAAAAAAAAAAAAACACUUUUUGUUAUGAGUAUGCAGGAGCAGCUCACUUAAAGGCUAAAGAAACUGAAUUACAGGUAAAUUAAACUCUCAGCAGCAGAAAGGCAAGGACAACAGAGGGCACAGCGACAUGCUGAUCCUGUAAGGAAGGUAGAAAAUAGACGGCACAAAAGGAAAAAAGCACCACUACUUUUUGCAACAGAGGACAGAUAAGAUAAGUCGCGAUGGUGACUGCUAAGAAGAUUUUUGAGGUAAGCUGUACUAAAAUUGUUUUUUUAACUUACAUGCGAAAACUACAUAUUCUGCUGCUGUUAAGUUAAUAGGUUUAGUUUGGUUUCCAACAGAACUGUUAAGGCACUUUUAUAAAUAUUUCAAAUAUUUUUUAUAAAUAUUUCAAUAUUAGCAAACUUUCACAGGGCAAAAUGGAAUAAUUGACCAUUAUGGUGUAUCGAUGCACGAAGCACAGUUAACAUAUAAUUUUACAAAAGAAUUUAUAUUAAAAUGACUGGAUUUCGCAAGCAAAGUUCUGCCAAACAUUAACAGUAAAUGUGACCGCACCCUUAAAGUUAGUUUUUCUCAAUAUUACCCUAUAGACGUUGUCAGUGAACAGUGAAAUUGUGCCAGUAACAUUGAAAAAUUGGUGUGAUUGGUAUGGAUUAUGUCAAAAGUGUAAUUGUAGUCGAUCUGAAAUUAAGUUGAUUAUGGGGUAAGUAUGGUUUUGUGCCAUUUUAGCACGCUUUUAACAGGCUAUAAAAUCUAUUUUCUUUAUUGUCAAAAUGCCAUAGACGGUUAAUUAUUUGCUAAAUAAUUGUGCAAAAAUGUUUUGGCACAAAAAUUCAAAUGAUUGCUUGUGCUGGGGCCACACCCUCUCCACUGUCAGAACAGUACCACACUUUGCCCAAAAUCCCCAUUCAGCCUCCCCAGAUUGAAAACAUUCAGGUGAGCACUGUAGGAAUACUCUUAUUAAAUUAUUCAUUUAUACUAAAUCAAACAUUCUUAAUUUUUGAUCUGUUCAUUUGAUUCUUUAUUAGACUGAUGACUCUCUACCAUUACGGUCCUUCCUGACCAGGAAGGUGUCAGAUAUAAUGGCUGAAUAUCAGCGUACAUGCAUGUUAUCUACAGACCGAAGAAAAAAGAUCAUCACUAACAGCGUUGGUGAUCUUGUUGCAAAACACCACAGUGAGCUGUGUAUACGUUACCCCUCUCCUGCUGACAAGCUGAAUUUAGCUAAAUCUUUGAUUGCCGUCUUUCCCUCUCUAAAUCUCAGCAUUGCUGGAUAGAAUGAAGGAUAUGAGCAUCUGUAUGACCCUGUGUCCCAUAAAGGAUUCAUCGAAAUGAAACUUCGAAAUAUGAGGUGGCAUCUUGAAGAGGGACAGCGACGCUAUCAGAGAAAAAGGAAAGCUCCCUGCAGUGUGUCAGCAGGAGCCUUAGUAACAUCAUCUAAUGAUGAAGACCCAAAUGAAUGGUUGACACUCAUCAAGAGAAUAAAGCCAUCAUCUGAGAACAUCGCCUCCAUCAAAACUGCAAUGGAAAAGACAUUCGUUCCUCGUAGGAACUGGAUCAGCAAGGAGUCACCAACAGUUGGUGACAUUUGCCAACAGUACCCCCGCUUCAUUGACAUGCCAUCCCUGCUAGAUGCAGAGUUUGGAAAGAUGUUUGAAUCCGAAAAUGGGAGUCAUCAGUAAUUCCAAAACUGAAACGGAUCGUAGCUUUUGAGCAAGGAAGUGUAACCUCUCUUUUGGACCAACUUAUAAACUGUAAUGAUGAUGAGAAGUGGUACAUCAUGCUGCAGGUCCUGACACACUUACUUCCACCAACUGCAGGAAGAGGUGCCGUUCAAAGCCGGUGCAGUGUAAAAUCUGCCAUUUCAUAUUUGCUGGAUUUUGUACCGUUUGGGACUAGGAUCUCCUGUUUAUGUGACAGUGAUGACACUGCCACAAGGAGCCAGCAGCCACAACUAGUCUGCAUUGGAAACCUGAUCAGUGAGGCCCACCAGUUCGUCAUUUUUGCCAAAAACGGCAAAGUUGUAAUUCCACUGGAAGAUGGGAGCCUAACCUGUGCCGUGGAUAAGCUGUUUAAUAAGUUCUUCUGGGUCUACAACCUUUCAUAUCCUCCGCAACUUACUUCAGUUUUCACCUUUUUGGAGUAUGUAUAUGACUUGCCAAUGUCCAAGACUGUAAGAACAUCUAAAGUUUUGGAGCUUAUUAGUAAGCUUCAGGCUUUAGACUAAAUCAGCUUGACAUUUACUGUUGUCCAAUAUGUAAAAAGCCAGUUAUCUCUGAGAUCAGGAGACUACGCUGGCAUCUUCACACCAUACAUUCCUUAUCCGAUGGACACGACUACACUAUAAUUUGCAGCCAAAAUGAGUGUCAACGUUCAUACCAAAACAUUAACUCCUAUUCUAAGCAUCUUGCAAGACAGCAUUCACCAGGGGAUAGCUUACUGUGCAUGGCUGCCCAGCUUUCAGAAAGAUAGGAGUCAGACAACGUUUCAGAUGACAACAAAGUAGAUAUUAGCAGCAACACUCAUUUGACAACUCAUGCAACAUCAGAUGGUGAGGAAAAUGCCAUUUUGUGUUCUAAGUCCGAUGAUGCAGUGUCAGUUACCAGUCAUGCAGCAACAUUUACUGCAAAGAUGUACUCUUGCUCUAAUAUAACACUGAGUGAUGUACAAAGAAGUGUAACUUGCACUAAAUAACUUUUGGACAGGACUAUUGACAGCCUUCAAGCUUCUACCAAUGCAUUUUGUAAAAGCUUGGCUGUUCCAGAUGACAAUGAGGGGUUUUGUUCAUUAAUGAGAGUUUGAAGCUGCUAGGCAGUGUCUUAACAGUAUAGAUAACCCAUAUAGAAUGGCUAAAUUCUUUGAAACAGAGUAUUCGCUUGUUAAGCCAAAAGAGAUGUUCUUGGGUCAUAGACCUGACACCAUGAAAAAAAAAUGGUAUUGCACAACAAACACUCGCAGCUGAUACAUUUCAGUACAUUUCAAUCCUUGAAACCGUAAGAUUUCUCUUUGGUAAUGAGAAAUUUCAGACCCUGUAUUUUCAGUCUCACAGAAGUACAGAUGCUUAGAUGUAUGACUAUUGUGAUGGUGAUCAUUUUGCAAAGUAUGAACUGAAAAAAAAAACAUCACAAUGGUCUACAGAUUCAACUAUACUUUGAUGAUCUGGAGACUGUAAGUCCUCUUGGGUCAAAAACAAAAAUCCAUAAAAUGGGAGCAGUGUAUUUUUCAUUGAGAAACGUAACCCCUGAAUAUAAUUCAAGUUUGGCUAACAUUCAUCUUUGCCUUCUUUUCAAUUCUAUUGGUAGAGAAAAAUAUGGCUUUGCAAAAAAUCUUUGAGCCUCUUUUAGAUGACAUAAAAGUUCUAGAGACACAAUGCAUUGACAUAAUGAUAAGAGGAGAAACACACACAGUACAUGGAACAGUCUGCCUUUUAACCACCGACAAUCUGGCUUGUCAUUCACUAUGUGGAUAUUCAGAGAGUUUUUCUGUGAAUAAGUUUUGCCAUAUUUGCCUUGUUGAUAAAACAACUUCACAAAGUGUAUUUAAUGAAGACGAUCUUUAAAAGAGAGACAGACACAAUUACCAUCAGCAUGCUCUGUUGAAUGAUGUAACUACUACAGGAAUCAAAGGAGAGUCAUGUUUGAAUACCUUGGAAUUAUGUCAUGUAACUGAAAAUGUAGGUGUUGACGUAAUGCAUGAUGUGCUCGAGGGUGUCGCACCUUAAGAAGUCAAACUUUUACUUCAGCACUUAAUUUAUGCAAACGCAAAAAACAAACCAAGUGUCAUCCUUAACCUGAAAUCUGAGACUGCAAUCAAGCAAACAGCAUCCCAGAUGUGGUGUCUCAUACAAAAUGUGCCUUUUCUUUUGGGGGACAUUGUCAGUCCUGAAAGUGCACACUGACAGUUGUUCAUUUUGUUGCAUGAGAUAUGCAGCAUUAUAUUGGCUCCUGCUGUAACCAGAGGUCUUGCAGUAUUCCUGAAACAGCUUAUCAUAGACCAUCAUAGUUUGUUCAAAGAACUUUAUCCUUCUCGUACUCUCUUACCAAAAUACCACUUUAUGACACAUUAUCCUAGCAUGAUGAUUCAGUUUGAACCAUUGUCUAAACUGUGGUGUAUGAGAUUCGAAUCAAAGCACGGUCCCCUCAAACAGCAGGCACAAGUUGUUUGCAAUUUCAGGAAUAUAUCAAAAACGUUGGCUUUCAAAAACCAGGUACAGCAAAUGCAUUGUUGGAAAUUUGGGGAGCCGUUGAUUCAUAAAAUAUCUGUACCAAAUGCAUAUCCAAUUGUUGUACGUUCUUUGGAAUAUGGUGAAAAAAAUAAGUGAGGAACUGGGCUCCUUUGGGGUAACAGAGACAGUGUCACAUUCAAUUAAUUUCAGUGGUCACACAUACAGAACAGGGAGCAUUUUGAUGUUACCCACUUAUGAACAGGAAUCCGUGUUUGGGGAAGUUGUUCAUUUGUUCUCAAUGGUAGACAACAAUGUUUUGUUGGCUUUUUUAAGGAUUUUUAAUGUUAAGUAUUUUGACUAUCAGUUUUAUUCAUAUGUAGUGAAAAAAACAGAAGAGUAUAAACUAGUAAAGAUUCCUUCUGAUCUGUCUGAUUCCCGACCCCUUGACAUUCAGACAAAUUUUUUGGAUGAUCAAAUCUAUAUUAAUCCCAGAUACAUAGUAUUGAAAUGAUGUACAAGGUUAUCUGCCCAAUGGAAUGGAGGAAAAAACUGCCCUAUGCUUGAAAACUUUAUCAUUAUAUUCUGUGUAUUGUAAUGAAUUUUAUUGUGAACAUUUCAUGACAAUAAAUAUUUUGAAUUCAAAUUAUAUUGUUUUAUUUAACUGAUUUUAUGCCAAAAGUACCACAUUUUUAUUCCAAGGUACCACAAAGAUAGCCUAGGACAGCACAUAAUGUGUUAAUAUUACACAUUUACACUUCUUUAUGUUAACCUUUCUGACGCAUUCACUGUGUUAAAAUCAUUAACACAGUGAAUGUGUUAAAAUUAACACAACAAACGUUGUUCCAGAUCUCACCCAUAGAUGUGUAAUAAUUUAACACAUUUUGAUUCAGUUUUAACACAUCUUUUUAAGAGUGUGUUUAAAUCUUUGUUGUGUUCAGUGCAGUUAUGGCUCUGGGGUAGAAACUGUUUUUUAGUCUGUUAGUCCGAGUUUUCAUUAAUCUGUAACGUCUGCCUGAGGGCAGCAGUUCAAAGUGAGUGCGUCCGGGGUGAGAUGCGUCUCUAAGAAUAUUAUGUGCCUUCCUGAGACACUGGGAACUAUACCGAUCUUCCAGGGAGGGGGUGACCGAUAAUCUUUUGGGCCGUGUUGACAACCCUCUGGAGCGCCUUCCUCUCUGCGACUGUGCAGCUGGAAAACCACACACAGAUGCAGUAUGUGAGGAUGCUCUCUAUGGAGCAGCGGUAGAAGGACACCAGCAGUUUCUGUGUAAGUUGAUUUUUCCUAAGAAUUCUCAGAAAGUACAAUCUCUGAUGUGCCUUCUUGAUGGUAGCGGUGGUGUUGGUGCUCCAGGUCAGGUCAUCAUCGAGGUGGGAUCAGAAGGUGGAGGUCCUCUCCACACAGUCCCCAUUGAUGAACAGGGGCUGAAUGGCCGU